rnacentral:rRNA from 2 species
GUCUAUCAUGCAGUCGAGCGGACAGAUGGGAGCUUGCUCCCUGAUGUUAGCGGCGGACGGGUGAGUAACACGUGGGUAACCUGCCUGUAAGACUGGGAUAACUCCGGGAAACCGGGGCUAAUACCGGAUGCUUGAUUGAACCGCAUGGUUCAAUUAUAAAAGGUGGCUUUUAGCUACCACUUACAGAUGGACCCGCGGCGCAUUAGCUAGUUGGUGAGGUAACGGCUCACCAAGGCAACGAUGCGUAGCCGACCUGAGAGGGUGAUCGGCCACACUGGGACUGAGACACGGCCCAGACUCCUACGGGAGGCAGCAUUAGGGAAUCUUCCGCAAUGGACGAAAGUCUGACGGAGCAACGCCGCGGGAGUGAUGAAGGUUUUCGGAUCGUAAAACUCUGUUGUUAGGGAAAAACAAGUACCGUUCAAAUAGGGCGGUACCUUGACGGUACCUAACCAGAAAGCCACGGCUAACUACGUGCCAGCAGCCGCGGUAAUACGUAGGUGGCAAGCGUUGUCCGGAAUUAUUGGGCGUAAAGCGCGCGCAGGCGGUUUCUUAAUUCUGAUGUGAAAGCCCCCGGCUCACCCGGGGAGGGUCAUUGAAAACUGGGGAACUUGAGUGCAGAAGAGGAGAGUGGAAUUCC